CAGACCUCCAACAGACCAAGGUCAGCUGCUCUGACACCUCCAACAGACCUAGGUCAGCCCCUCAGACCUCCAGCAGACCUGGGUCAGCCCCUCAGAGACCUCCAACAGACAAAGGUCAGGCCCACAGAUACCUACAACAGACCAAGGUCAGGCCCACAGAUACCUACAACAGACCAAGGUCAGCCCCUCAGAUACCUCCAACAGACCUAGGUCAGCCCCUCAGAUACCUCCAACAGACCUAGGUCAGCCCCUCAGAUACCUCCAACAGACCUAGGUCAGCCACUCAGACCUCCAACAGACCUAGGUCAGCCCAUCAGACCUCAGACCUCCAACAGACCUAGGUCAGCACCUCAUACCUCCAGCAGACCUAGGUCAGCCCCUCAGACCUAGGUCAGCCCCUCAGACCUAGGUCAGCCCCUCAGACCUAGGUCAGCCCCUCAGA
ensembl:lncRNA